GCCGUCAACAUCAUGACCUCUGCCACCUUCAAACUCCAAAUUGCAUACGAUUAUGUGCUCACAAUCCUUCAGCUGUAAGCCUUUGCCAGUGAGUAUUAUCCUUUGUCCACGACCAUCAAUAGUUUUAUGGGAUGACACACGUAGGUAAGACGUGAGAGGAAUGGUGCCUGAAACUUCAAAAACAAUCCAUAGUGGUUCUUUCUUACGGCAUCCAUCACGGAGUGAUCCCGGACCAUCAUCGGCCAAUGUUGUGACGGAAUAGACCGGACCAUUUAGACCGCCGAUUGCAAAUCUGCCAAAUCCUUCGGCUCGACCGGCUAGAGCUUUUAAGCUCGAAUCGACAUCAGCAUAUGGCAACGCCGCCAUGAUCAGCAAUUUACUGAGCUUCUAGGGUUAAGGGGGCUGAACCGGUAAACUUUAGCCGGUUCA
rnacentral:misc_RNA from 1 species